rnacentral:rRNA from 1 species
AGAACGAACGCUGGCGGCAUGCCUAACACAUGCAAGUCGAACGAGACCCCGACUUCGGUCGGACGUCUAGUGGCGCACGGGUGCGUAACGCGUGGGAAUCUGCCCUUGGGUUCGGGAUAACAGUUGGAAACGACUGCUAAUACCGGAUGAUGACUUCGGUCCAAAGAUUUAUCGCCCAGGGAUGAGCCCGCGUCGGAUUAGCUAGUUGGUGAGGUAAAGGCUCACCAAGGCGACGAUCCGUAGCUGGUCUGAGAGGAUGAUCAGCCACACUGGACUGAGACACGGCCCAGACUCCGUACGGGAGCAGCAGUGGGGAAUAGUUGGACAAGUGGGCGAAAGCCUGAUCCAGCAAUCGCCGCGUGAGUGAUGAAGGUCCUUAGGGUUAGUAAAGCUUCCGUUUUAACCCGGAUACGUAUAAGUAGAACGUAACGGUAACCGG